rnacentral:rRNA from 1 species
GAUGAACGCUAGCUACAGGCUUAACACAUGCAAGUCGAGGGGAAACGAUAGAGAAAGCUUGCUUUUUCUAGGCGUCGACCGGCGCACGGGUGAGUAACGCGUAUCCAACCUGCCCAUCACUUGGGGAUAACCUUGCGAAAGUAAGACUAAUACCCAAUGACGUCUCUAGAAGACAUCUGAAAGAGAUUAAAGAUUUAUCGGUGAUGGAUGGGGAUGCGUCUGAUUAGCUUGUUGGCGGGGUAACGGCCCACCAAGGCGACGAUCAGUAGGGGUUCUGGGAGGAAGGUACCCCACAUUGGAACUGAGACACGGUCCAAACUCCUACGGGAGGCAGCAGUGAGGAAUAUUGGUCAAUGGACGAGAGUCUGAACCAGCCAAGUAGCGUGCAGGAUGACGGCCCUAUGGGUUGUAAGCUGCUUUUAUAAGGGAAUAAAGUGAGUCUCGUGAGACUUUUUGCAUGUACCUUAUGAAUAAGGACCGGCUAAUUCCGUGCCAGCCGCCGCAGUAA